GACGGAGGGUGCUAGCGUUGUUCGGAAUUACUGGGCGUAAAGGGCGCGUAGGCGGCCCUGUCAGUCGGGUGUGAAAGCCCGGGGCUCAACCCCGGAACGGCACCCGAGACGGCAGGGCUGGAGACCGGGAGAGGAGGGUGGAAUAGCCAGUGUAGAGGUGAAAUUCGUAGAUAUUGGCUGGAACACCGGUGGCGAAAGCGGCUCUCUGGGACGGUACUGACGCUGAGACGCGAAAGCGUGGGGAGCAAACAGGG
rnacentral:rRNA from 1 species